rnacentral:misc_RNA from 1 species
CAGAGUUUUCCAAACUCCCAAACCCAUGUGAACUUACCUUUGUUGCCUCGGCGGUAGCUUACCCUGUACCUACCCUGUACUUACCCUGUAAAAGGGGUACUUACCCUGUAGUUACCCGGUAGCGGCCGCCGGUGGAUCUCCAAACUCUUGUUUAAUCAUAGACAUUCUGAGUAAUUACUAUAAUAAGUUA